AAAAAAAAAAAAAACAACAACAAAUACACCAUUCUCAAAGCUACGUAAAUUUGCGGAAAUUCGUGAAAUUGUUGAAUUUGUGUGAAGUGUGUUUUACACCAAAUCGAGCGAAAUUAAUUCAAUUUUGAUUGAUAUUACGGUUGCGUUCUUAAUGGCAUCUAUAGCUGAACUUCGGUAUAAAGAUUUUUUAUUCAUAGAACAAUAAUUUCGUUCAAGUUUUCGAAUUAAACCGAAACGAGUGACAAGUGUUAACAAGAAAGUGUUAAGCCAUUUGCGAGAGACGCAAAUUUCUAAAAACUACUCUAACAAAGUAUCUGAGAUAACAGUUGUAUCUAGAUACGAGUGCAAAAUACAUUGUACAUAUAUAAAUAAGCUGAGACUAUUUACGUAAGCUGAUAUCUGCCAAGAUCUACAUACACUUAGAUCAACGUACAGUGAACACUCAAUUUCGCGUUCUAGUAUUAUGUUGGUCGUCUCUUCUCUUACUGCACCAACAACAACAACAACAACAACAAGCGGAGCGCGGGUCAUCAACGAGACCAACCUUCACAACAAGCGACGCGUCAACGUCAUGCAACAUUCGCCUGUCGUUGUCUUCAUGUGUAUGCAACAUUCGCAGCGGCAAGUUCCCAUGCUCAACAAUUCCAUGUGUAUGCGUAUGCGUGGCUGGCACAAUAAUUACGAUUACCAUUACGAUAGUUGCCUAUCGGUUAAGGGCAUCAAGUGCAGCACCACGUCCACAAAGACUCUACUAAAGCGCUCCAAGGGCUUGCGAAAGAAGCGCAACAUUAGCAUUCGGGGCAGCAUUUGUUGCCGAGGUUUUCGUUUUUGAAACAAACCAGCCACACAUCGAGACACCGAAAUCUUAAUUCGCAGCAUAAAACGGGAGUAAACGGACUAAAAGGAAAAUUGUUGCAUCGGAACUUGCUUGCCACACGCGGCAGCAUCAUAAUGAGCGUCUAAAAGGAAGUUGUGUCGACGACUCUUUUAGAGCUUGUUUAGAGUUUCCCUAACAAUUUCAUUGUUUCUCUCUAACGGUCAAUUAAAACCACGUUCAAAAUGGCAUUCAGCGUCGAAUUCCAAGCCAGCCAAAAUAGGCCCCACAGCGAAUCCAACAACAACAACAACAGCAACAGCAACAGCAGCAGCAGCAACA
rnacentral:sRNA from 1 species